rnacentral:rRNA from 1 species
CCAGACUCCUACGGGAGGCAGCAGUGAGGAAUAUUGGUCAAUGGGCUUACGCCUGAACCAGCCAAGUCGCGUGAGGGAAGACUGCCCUAUGGGUUGUAAACCUCUUUUGUCAGGGAGCAACGCCGGCUACGUGUAGCCGGACUGAGAGUACCUGAAGAAAAAGCAUCGGCUAACUCCGUGCCAGCAGCCGCGGUAAUACGGAGGAUGCGAGCGUUAUCCGGAUUUAUUGGGUUUAAAGGGUGCGUAGGCGGGCUGGUAAGUCCGGGGUAAAGGCCCGGGGCUCAACCCCGGCGAGCCGUUGAAACUGGGUGCCUUGAGUGGGCGAGAAGUACGCGGAAUGCGUGGUGUAGCGGUGAAAUGCAUAGAUAUCACGCAGAACUCCGAUUGCGAAGGCAGCAUACCGGCGCCCAACUGACGCUGAAGCACGAAAGCGUGGGUAUCGAACAGGAUUAGAUACCCCUGUAAA